rnacentral:rRNA from 1 species
AUGCAAGCUGACAACGACACCGAGUUUAUUAACACCACUGUCACCACCUUCUUCACAUCUCACAACAUUCACCUUCGUCUCUCGUGUCCCUACACUUCCACUCGAAACGGCAAAGUUGAACGAGCUAUACGCACGAUCAACGAUGUCGUCCAAACUCUUCUAUUUCAGUCAUCCAUGUCGCCCUCUUUUUGGGCAGAAGCCCUCACCACAGCUACCCACCUCGUCAACAUUCGCCCUUCUCAAGCUAUAGACUUUGCCAUUCCCUAUGUUUUCUUAUACGACACUCUGCCCGAUUACGCCGCGCUGCGUGUCUUCGGCUGUCUAUGCUACCCAAACCAAUCCGCAUUGCCAAAAAUAAACUCUCUCCCUGCUCAGUCGCAUGUGUGUUCAUUGGUUAUCCUAGUCAACACAAAGGCCACCCAACAUGCACCUGUCCAGCCCCAACACAUCCUGCAUGCAUGCCCAUCUAGUGGCCCUCCAUCUUCUACUCCACUAGCCCGUGUCACCUCCUCUCCGCCAACUCUGCAUGCAACCUUGUCACCCACCAUGCAUAGUGGCUCUUUGCCUUCCUCUCUAUGUGCUACACCUAUCAGCUCGCCCUUGAGCUCGCCUCCCAACCAGCGCGAUGGCAUCUCCUCCCGCAGCCGAACCUAUCACACCUCCAUCUUGCACGUCUACCAAACCAUCACCGCUCGUCGUCGUUCACCGGCCAUCGUCCCCAUCUAA